AAAUAUAUAAACAUAUAAAUGACAUUUUAUAUUAUAAACAUGUAAAUAAAAGUGAGACAAACCAAAUUUUUCACAAACUAAAAAAACUUAUCCUCACAGUACAGCCACUCACUUUCUCCACUCAGAGCCGCUCCUCUCACCUUCUCCCCUCACAGCUACUCCCAUCCAUGGCGCCUCCCCUCCCCUCGACGGCGCCGUCCGGGCCCUCCUCUCCCUGAACCGGCCCACCUCUUUGCUUCUGCCCUCCCCCCUCCCCCGCCUUCGACAAGCACCCCAGCGCUCGCGACGCAAGGCACAGAAGCGCAGUCUGUCUUGGCCGCCGCCGCCGUCGUCUCGUCGCCGCUCGGAAACGCCGAUGCCCAUGAAGACGACAAGGACGACGAGGGCUCCUUCGGCCCCGAGAUCUUCUGCCGCCACUCCCAGGAGGCGGUCGCCCGCGAGGUCCGCACGCAAGUCGACGCCAUCCACCACUGCUUCUCGUGACGCCACGCCGACCGCGCCUCCAGCGUCCUCGCAGAGCUCGCAAAAAUGGAUGGGUCUACAUGGAGGACGAACAAGUUCACAGACUUCUCACCAUUCUUGAUGCCGCACCCAUGUGAUUCACAUCUCUGGGAACGCCAUCUCUUCCAUCGUGUGCCUUAGUUCCUGGACACCGGAGUCUCCCCCUGGACCUGACUUCCGCCAAAUGGCCAACUACUUGACACCUGAACAAAGGGAUAAAAGUCAGAGGCAUGGGGAUGAUGAUGUCAUGG